rnacentral:rRNA from 1 species
UACGUAGGGUGCAAGCGUUGUCCGGAAUUAUUGGGCGUAAAGAGCUCGUAGGCGGAUUGUCGCGUCUGCUGUGAAAACCCGAGGCUCAACCUCGGGCCUGCAGUGGGUACGGGCAGACUAGAGUGCGGUAGGGGAGAUUGGAAUUCCUGGUGUAGCGGUGGAAUGCGCAGAUAUCAGGAGGAACACCGAUGGCGAAGGCAGAUCUCUGGGCCGUAACUGACGCUGAGGAGCGAAAGCAUGGGGAGCGAACAGG